AACGAACGCUGGCGGCAGGCCUAACACAUGCAAGUCGAGCGAGGACUUCGGUUCUAGCGGCGGACGGGUGAGUAACGCGUGGGAAUGUGCCCUUCUCUACGGAAUAGCCCUGGGAAACUGGGAGUAAUACCGUAUACGCCCUAUUGGGGAAAGAUUUAUCGGAGAAGGAUCAGCCCGCGUUGGAUUAGGUAGUUGGUGGGGUAAUGGCCUACCAAGCCGACGAUCCAUAGCUGGUUUGAGAGGAUGAUCAGCCACACUGGGACUGAGACACGGCCCAGACUCCUACGGGAGGCAGCAGUGGGGAAUCUUAGACAAUGGGGGCAACCCUGAUCUAGCCAUGCCGCGUGAGUGAUGAAGGCCUUAGGGUUGUAAAGCUCUUUCAGCUGGGAAGAUAAUGACGGUACCAGCAGAAGAAGCCCCGGCUAACCCCGUG
rnacentral:rRNA from 1 species